CUACGGGUCGCUCCAGUGGGGAAUAUUGCACAAUGGGCGCAAGCCUGAUGCAACCAUGCCGCGUGUAUGAAGAAGGCCUUCGGGUUGUAAAGUACUUUCAGCGGGGAGGAAGGGAGUAAAGUUAAUACCUUUGCUCAUUGACGUUACCCGCAGAAGAAGCACCGGCUAACUGCCGUGCCAGCAGCCGCGGUAAUACGGAGGGUGCAAGCGUUAAUCGGAAUUACUGGGCGUAAAGCGCACGCGGGCGGUUUGUUAAGUCAGACGUGAAAUCCCCGGGCUCAACCUGGGAACUGCAUCUGAUACUGGCAAGCUUGAGUCUCGUAGAGGGGGGUAGAAUUCCAGGUGUAGCGGUGAAAUGCGUAGAGAUCUGGAGGAAUACCGGUGGCGAAGGCGGCCCCCUGGACGAAGACUGACGCUCAGGUGCGAAAGCGUGGGGAGCAAACAGGAUUAGAUACCCUCGUAGUC
rnacentral:rRNA from 1 species